CUCGCCUUCCUUGCUCCGACGCUCGCAUCUCUCUCCCCUCUGUUUCGUCCAAAACCAUCAUCGCCUUCUUCACCGAGCCCUCGCGAUACAGUCACAAUUAGAGCUAGCUGGGAACGCAACGACGGGAUGGCGGCUUAGAGAGUCCCGAAACUCCCAUUUUGUUUUCCUCCUCCUGUUCCUCUCUUACCCGAAACCUUUGAGGAAGAAACCCUUGACGAACAAAGAAGCACGGAAGUCGCGACGGGAGGUUGCUGGUGAAGGCAUCGAUGAGAUCGCGACGUUCGUGUUUCUUCUCCUUUUACUACUAGCUGAAUUGUAGAAGAAAAAUAAGCGAAGACGUAGCGGCGGGAGCUUGCUAGCAAAGAAGCAGGGAAG